rnacentral:rRNA from 1 species
UACGGAGGAUGCAAGCGUUAUCCGGAAUUAUUGGGCGUAAAGCGUCCGCAGGUGGCUGUUCAAGUCUGCUGUCAAAGCGCAGAGCUUAACUCUGUACAGGCGGUGGAAACUGAAGAGCUAGAGUAUGGUAGGGGUAGAGGGAAUUCCCGGUGUAGCGGUGAAAUGCGUAGAUAUCGGGAAGAACACCAGUGGCGAAAGCGCUCUACUGGGCCAUAACUGACACUGAGGGACGAAAGCGUGGGGAGCAAACAGG